ensembl:lncRNA
AGGACAUCAAGAAUCACCAGGUAGAGGUCUUUACCUUGUGGAUUCUUUUAAAAACAAACUGUGGACAUUGGCCUGUUCACGAACCUUCACAGAAAUGCAAAUCCUGCAAUUUCCUUGUAAUCUUGUUUGCUGCAGAUGCAUUACAUUGCAUUACAGCCAUCCACUGGGCAGCAGCUCUUCUGGCCCAGCUGCGGUGUAUGCAGUAGCAUGGGAGCACCUCCUGAGCAAUGACAAUGAAGAACUGCUGGGAAAACAAAAUGCUGCUCCUCUGGCGUUGAGCCAUGAGCCAACACAGUCUUGCUGAACGCAGAGAGAGGAGCUGCCUGUGUGUACAGCCCUCACCAGCCAGAAUGGUUUGCAGGGGGGUGACCGGGCAGCUGUUGGGACAGUGACAAUAUCCAAGCACUCUAUUACACGCUGGAGGAGCCACGCUGAUCUCCUACUCAAGGCAAGGUAAAUUAAGAUUGAACAGGACCCCCUGGAGAUGGUCUCUCCAUGAAAUAUUUUGGGUGGGGGAAGCUGACAGCUACCACCUCCAUCCCAUGGGCAUGGGGUUGCCUUCCUCACCCAGGAGACCCAGGGCAUGAGCAUGAUGACUUCUGUCAUUUCUUGAUGUUCUCCUGGCAGUUGGUUAUAGAAUCAUUAGGGUUGGAAAAGACCUCUACAAUUAACAGGUCCCACCAUCAACCCACCCUCACCAUAUCAGUGACCACAUCUCUCAGUGCCACAUCUCCAUGGAUCUUGAACACCUUCAGGGUCAGUGACUCCACCACCUUCCUGGCCAGCUGUGCCACUGCAGCACUGCUCUUUGGAGAACAAAUUGUUCCUGAUAUCCAACCUGAAUGUCCCCUGGAGCAACGUAAAACUGCUACCUCUCACCUAUCACUAUUACCUGGCAGCAGAGGCCAACCCUUGCUUGCCACAACCUCUGUUCAGGCACUCAGAGAGAGAGAUGAAGUCUCCCCUGUGCUUCCUUCUCCCAUGCUGGACAAUCCCAGUUCAAGCUGUCUUGCACAUAAACCUGAGGAUCUCGCACUGAUCCUACAUAAACAAAAUAAUAAUGAUAAAAAUGCUUGGCUUUUUUUUAUCUCAAGAUUAAGAAUUCCGCAUUUGUGGCUGUUGGAGUGAUGUAUAUAGCAUAUACAGUUUAUUCCAGUCUUCAAAAUCUGUUCCAGGUUUAUGGGGGAGGUGUUGUUAUGCUGUACUUUCUAGCUCAUACUUCACACAGAGGGCAUGAAUUCUAGAGAUAACAGCGAUGUGUGAAGCAAAACUGUGCAGUUAAGUUGUCUGAAUUUCACUUUGUAUGAAAACUUAGAUGUAGCUUGAGUAUGAACCUUAAAUGUUUCUGCUCCAAAUCAUGAAGGUUGAAAGUUGUCCUUGAAAAGUGGCAAAUGCAUUUUGUUUUGUUUGUUUCAUUUCAUGCAGUACAGGGACUAAUCUCUGCUGAGAUAAAAUUCUUUUGAGCUGAGGUGGCUGAAGUUACAAGGGCACCAGUUUUGAGUGGUAAUGACCAAAUGGUUCGACAGAAACAACAGAAUUGUCCCGAGUGUUUUUAAUGAGAAUAAGACUUUCAGUGUCAUACGCUGUGAAGAAAUCUUGUUCAUGUCCACUUUCCAGUCCUGUCUCCAGGCACAGAGGCCCCUGGUUUGAUUUAAAUGAUGUCUAGUUAACGAGCUCAGUUGUGGUUUGCACUGCGUGCUUCAGUCCAGGCAGUGAUUUUUACAUCAUUCUACACUAAUGGCAUGUUUUGUCUUUAAAUUUUUGUAGUUGUUAUGAAGAGGGGGAGGAGAACUGGUAAAAAUGGAUGGUGCUUAUAUGUUCAAUAUUAUAUUCUCCUUAAAUGUUCAAUUAUCGCUCAUGAGAGACUGCACACGCACAAAAAGCAGAUGUUAUUUUAAUGUGUAAAUCAAUAAAGCUGCCUUGUUUU